CCCUCGCGGAGCACUGUGGGAGCGGCUUCCUUGGAGCCGCGCGUGGCAACGCUGCGGCCGCGCAGCUCCCUGCCGAGUACCAGGAAGGCCGCGCCGCCCCCGCCGCGCUCGCGGUGGCCCUGCUCCCUUCGCCGCGAGUUAAGAGUGAGCCCUUACUCCAAGGCUGCCGCACAGCAGCGGGUCUCAUAGGCGCAGAUGAUGCAGAAUGUGCACCUGGCCCCAGAGACGGAUGAAGACGAUCUUUACUCUGGUUACAAUGACUACAACCCAACCUACGAUGCUGAGGAAUUGGAGAAUGACACAGCUUUUCAGCAAGCUGUGAGAACUAGUCAUGGCAGAAGACCUCCAAUAACUGCUAAAAUACCAAGCACAGCAGUUGCUAGACCUGUAGCUACUGGAUGUGGGUCCAAGACAUCCCUGGCAUCAUCAAUGGGAAGACCAAUGACAGGGGCUAUUCAGGAUGGAGUUACUAGACCCAUGACAGCAGUGAGAGCAGCUGGUUUUACCAAAGCAGCUUUGAGAGGCUCUGCGUUCGACCCCCUCGGUCAGUCACGGGGCCCUGCACCACCGCUGGAGGCCAGGAACGAAGACAGUCCAGAAGAAAAGAUUAGACAGUUAGAGAAGAAAGUAAAUGAGCUGGUAGAAGAAAGCUGUAUUGCUAACAGCUGUGGAGACUUAAAACUGGCCUUAGAAAAGGCAAAGGAUGCGGGAAGAAAAGAGAGAGUGCUGGUGAGACAACGAGAACAAGUCACAAGUCCAGAAAACAUCAAUUUGGAUUUAACUUACUCGGUUCUUUUCAACUUGGCCAGUCAGUAUUCAGCUAAUGAAAUGUAUGCUGAAGCACUAAACACGUAUCAAGUUAUAGUGAAAAAUAAGAUGUUUAGCAAUGCAGGUCGGUUGAAAGUGAAUAUGGGAAAUAUUUAUUUAAAGCAAAGAAAUUAUUCCAAAGCCAUUAAAUUCUACCGAAUGGCCUUAGAUCAAAUUCCAAGCGUCCAUAAAGAAAUGAGGAUUAAAAUUAUGCAGAACAUCGGGGUUACAUUUAUUAAGACUGGGCAGUAUUCUGACGCCAUCAGCUCCUUUGAGCACAUCAUGAGCGUGGCCCCAGACCUGAAGGCAGGCUUCAACCUGAUCCUCAGUUACUUUGCCGUUGGAGACCGAGAGAAGAUGAAGAAGGCGUUCCAGAAACUGAUUGCCGUUCCGUUAGAGAUUGACGAAGAUGACAGAUACGUGUCACCGAGCGAUGACCCACAUACUAAUUUAGUGAUUGAAGCUAUAAAAAAUGAUCAUCUAAGGCAAAUGGAACGUGAAAGGAAAGCCACGGCAGAAAAAUACAUCAUGACAGCUGCAAAACUCAUUGCCCCUGUAAUUGAAACAUCUUUUGCUGUAGGUUAUGAUUGGUGUGUGGAAGUUGUGAAAGCCUCUCAGUACGUAGAGCUAGCAAAUGACCUGGAAAUAAACAAAGCAGUUACAUACCUGAGACAAAAGGACUUUAAUCAGGCUGUGGAGACCUUAAAAACGUUUGAAAAAAAGGACAGUAGAGUGAAGAGUGCAGCUGCAACCAACCUCUCAUUCCUGUAUUAUUUGGAAAAUGAAUUUGUACAAGCCAGUAGCUACGCAGAUUUAGCUGUGAACUCUGACAGGUACAAUCCAUCAGCUCUUACUAAUAAAGGGAAUACAGUUUUUGCAAAUGGUGAUUAUGAGAAGGCAGCUGAAUUCUAUAAAGAGGCUCUAAGAAAUGAUUCUUCUUGUACGGAAGCACUGUAUAAUAUUGGCCUUACCUAUAAGAAGCUAAACCGGCUUGAUGAAGCUUUGGACUGUUUCCUGAAACUUCACGCAAUCCUAAGAAACAGCGCCCAAGUCCUUUACCAGAUAGCAAAUGUAUAUGAGCUGAUGGAAGACCCCAGUCAGGCUGUGGAGUGGCUGAUGCAGCUCAUCAGUGUCGUCCCCACCGACUGCAGGGCCCUGUCCCAGCUGGGGGGCCUGUACGACAGGGAGGGGGACAAGUCCCAGGCCUUCCAGUACUACUGCGAGGUGUCGUACAGGUAUUUCCCGUCCAACAUUGAAGUCAUCGAGUGGCUCGGGGCCUAUUACAUCGACACCCAGUUUUGUGAAAAAGCCAUUCAGUACUUUGAAAGAGCUUCUCUUAUACAGCCUACACAGGUGAAAUGGCAGCUGAUGGUAGCUAGUUGUUUUAGAAGAAGUGGUAACUACCAAAAAGCAUUAGAUACUUACAAAGAUAUUCACAGAAAAUUUCCAGAAAAUGUUGAAUGUCUGCGUUUCUUGGUUCGUCUCUGCACAGAUAUUGGAUUAAAAGAAGUUCAAGAAUAUGCAACAAAACUCAAGAGACUGGAAAAAAUGAAAGAAAUCAGGGAACAGGUAUCUUAUCGUGUCAAGUCUGGCCGGGACGGCAGCGGUGGUCCCCGCGGCAGGAGAGACGGGAGCGCUGGCAGUGUGUUUCCAGACAGCGGCCAUAGCUGCAGCGCCGGGAGCAAAGGUGAGCGACUCAGCGCCCAGCUCCGGGCCCUGCCUGGGACGGACGAGGCUUAUGAGAGCAGCAGCAACAAGGAGCUAGAUGCCUCCUACGUGGACCCACUUGGCCCUCAAAUAGAAAGACCCAAGACUGCGGCCAAAAAGAGAGUCGACGAGGAUGAUUUUGCUGAUGAAGAGUUAGGAGAUGAUUUGCUUCCAGAAUAGUAUAUAUUUUAAUAUAUUAUUUAUUAAAGGAAAGAAAUUGCCUUAUAAUAUGUUAAACUUUGGAUUAAAUAUCCAAACUUCAAUUGUGCACACUGUCAAAACUUUAAAUACGUGUAUUCUGUUCUAUGAGCAUGGAUUUAGGUUUUGUUUUGCUUUCAAUGGAAUAAAAACAUAUGAAAAUAGUACUUUAGGCCAUCGACUUGCCCUUUUGAAAACACUGACCCACAGGAAGAAAUAAAUCUUGUAGCACUACUUUGUACCUCCACACAGGUGUAAGUAUUGUUACUUAUUAUGACAGUGUGCUGCUAUUUUCUAUAAUUUCAUUAAAACAAAGUAUGAAUAAUGAAAGCAUUAUAUAUAUAUUUAACAUAUCAGCAUUUAAAUAUUGAUCUUAUAUUUUGGCUGCCUGGGGCCUUAGCUGCGGCACGCAGGAUCUUCGCGGUGGCGCACGGGCUUCUCUCUAGCUGUGGCGUGUGGUUUUUCUCUUCUCUAGUUGUGGCACUUAGGCUCAGCUGCCCCGUGGCAGAUUGUUUACCACUGGACCAGCAGGGAAGCCCCCAAAACACUGCAUUGAUUUCACGGUUUGCAGCUUGCUUGGCCGUACCCUUGACGAGCCUCUGUUGAAGCUACAUUGCUUGGAGUUUGGACACUGAGUCUUGGAAGGUCUGCUUGGUGGGGACUGUGACACUAGUAGAGCAGCUGUGUUUUGGAGGCGGUAACGGGUAGUGAGGGAGAACUCAGGCCACGGCCCCUUGCUCUUCCCUGGAGUCCCUUCAGCCCCGAGUGACCGGCAGCCUCGAGGAUGCUUCCUGUUGAGACGCAGGGUGUGGGGUCGAGGCCAGGACGGCCUGCGCCCUUCUUAGCAGUGUGUCGGGCUGGCGGGCACUGUCCAGAGGACCUGCAGAGAUGGGCAGUCAGGGGAGACGUGGCUCGUCUGUAAGACUUCACGAGAGAGGAUGUUCCCUCCACCUCCGUGUGCGUUGUUUCUGCAGUGCACACAGCCAUUAGGUGCCGGAGAGGAAGCACCAGAAUUAGAGCGCAUGCCCUGCUCCCAGGGAAGGUUAUGCUCUGAUGGGGCAGGCGUUCACCAAUGACACUAAACGUCUAGUGUGUGUGAGAUUCUGGGGGUACGGUCAUGACAGCGAGGCCCUGCCCUCAGCUUGAAUCCUGGGGAGACAGACAGUGGGUGUGUUUUUAAUGGGUUUUUAGGUGUUAUUAAGGGCAGUUAAGAAAAUGAAGUGGAGGAAUGCCACAGGGAGUGCGUGCAGCGGGGGGAGCCCCUCCAGGAGAGCACGUGUAUCAACACCAGGAAGAUGCCUGAGGGCAGCGGUGCCCUGGGCAGAAGGAGUCGCAGGUGCAGACACACGGACCAGAGCUCUGAGUGUGUUGGGGGCGUCUGUGUGGGCAGGAACGCAAAAGGGGGUGGGGUCCGCCAGGAAGGCAGGGGCACGUCAUGUAGAGCCCACAGGCAGAGUUUGGGUCUCAUUCUGUUAUAGGAACAGCAGAGACGCCCUUGGAAGGUUUUGCUCAAGGAGGGCGAGUGCUGUGCUUUGGUUUCACCUCUAGAACAGCGGCCAGCUGGCUGCCACGGCGACGGGUUGACUGAGGCCUGAGGCAGGCAGGCGUUACAGGUGCGGGAAUAACGUGCAGGGGUGCUGGGAGCCCCAGGUGCUGACCGAGAAGACGGCAGAUGAGCAGAACUUGCGGCGGCAAGACCUGACCCUUACAGGAGGGGAGGAGGCCGGGAUCCGUCAGCAACCUGGGAAGGUAAGUGGAAGCAGUCACCCCUGCCCCGGCCCAGAAGACUUUCCCACCCGCCUGGCCCCUGCCAGGGAGCUGCAGCCGCCUGGCGCUGGGGGCUGAGGGUGAGGUUGGGGCGAUCACGCCUUCAGCGGAGAGCCCUGGAGAGGCGUGAGCUUCCAAGGGGACAUGCUGAGGCUGCUUCUGAGUAUUUUGUUGUCUUUUUCUCACUUGUCUUAAUGUU